rnacentral:miRNA from 1 species
CAGGCACUGUGUGUGUGUGUGUGUGUGUGUGUGUGGGGGCACUCCUCCCUCCCCAGACACAACACAUGCCCUGCAGG